UAAACUCCUUGAUAGGACUGAAAUGCACGGAGAAUGGUCGAAAUGAUGUCUUCUCUUUUCCCCAAAAAUGGCUUCUGAGCCAGACAAAAAGUAACUGAGCACACCCCAUAAAUCGUCCUUCACCCUUUCUUCGACAAAAAUUAAGUGAUCUAAUAGUUUCUAUCAAAAUAAUUGGUGAAGGGUUUAUACCUUUAUCUAAUUGCUCAAAGAAAUCAACCACUGAUGCUUCUAUAUGUCCUAAAACCUUAAGAAAUAUCAUCAAUCCAUAGAUGGCCAAAGUAAACACAUCCAACCCCUGAUCGGUAUCAAUAUACUUUCUUAUGUACUCAAG
rnacentral:lncRNA from 1 species